CUCUCUCUCUCUCUCUCUCUCUCUCUCUCUCUCUCUGUUGUUCUACAUCUUAUGUGUUCUUAGAAUGCUAAAAAAUGGGAUGAACUGGAUACGGCAUAUGUUAGUCUCAAGGUAUCUAAUCUUUGUAUUAUGCUUGGCAGCUGUAGAAGUGAUUUGGCUUCCACAACUCAUCAAGCAGAAGAAAGAAAGGUCACUUCUGAAGACUUGGGAAGUGAAGGUCACCACCAUUCAAGAAGUCAAAGACCUCAACAAGCUACUAUUGGAAGAACUUCUUGAGUCUCUAAUGACUCGAGUUAACCAUGAGGUAUAAUAUGAAGGAAGAAACUAAAAAGAAAAAGACCAUCGCUCUCAAGACUACUACCUCUAAGGAUGAUGAAAGUGAAGAAUCUGAUGAAGAAGAGGAAAAAAAAGACUUGGCCUUGAUCGUAAGGAAGUUCAAGAGGUUCAUGAGGAAGAAGAAGCAAAGCUUUAAGAAGAAGACCUUCAAAGGUGAGUCAAGUAAGAAAAAGGAAAAAGAAAAGGAGAAGGAGCUGCCUAUUUGUUUUGAGUGUAAGAAUCCCAAUUAUUUUAGAAUGGACUACUGUCUCCUCAAGAAAUCAUCCAAAAAAUUCAAAAAGGAGGCAAUGAUAGCCACUUGAAACAAUAGUGAGGACUCAAGCUCUAAAGAAGAAACUCAAAAGGUGGCAAACCUUUGCUUGAUGGCUCAUCAAGGGGAAGUAAAUGCUGAAAACUUCCUAGAUUUUAUAUUUGAUGAAUUACAAGAUACUUUUUCUGAACUUAUGACUGAAUAUAGAAAAGUAACUUUGAAAAAUAAAAAAUUAAAAAAGCUAAAUCUUGAACUUAACCAUGAAAAAGGAAAGAUUUCUGAAAAACUUAAUACACUAACUUGUGAAAAUCAGAAAUUAAGUGAUGAACUAAAGAAGAUUAAACCAUUUAUAGAGAAAUUUACUUAUAGCUCCAAAAAACUGCAUAUGUUAUUAAAUAAACAAAGAGCUAUUUUUAACAAGAUCGGAUUAGGAUUUAAAUCUCAAAAGAAGUAAAAAUUACUAAAAAAUCUAUUUGUUAAAGCUUCAUCAAAUUCUACUUCAAAUAUUUCAUGUUAUUGCUGUGAAAAAAUUAGUCAUAAAUCCUAUGCAUGUGAUUUUAGAAAAUUAAAUAAAAAAAUGAUUAAAAUGAUUUGAGUUCCAAAAAGAACCAUGAGUACUAACCCUAAAAGAUCCAAGAUGACUUGGGUACCUAAAAACUCUACUUGAUUUUCUUGUGUAGGAGUGUCUUGCAGUCCAGGGGGAGAAAAAGCUUUGGUAUCUUGAUAGUAGCUAUUCAAGGUUAUCUUACUGGGCAACAGACAUUUAAUUGGAGACAAAUAUCUCUGACAAUCCCAUGCUCUCCCAUGACUAACAAAUCUGGUAAUGAGCGGACAGUCUAUUCUGACAACCUACAGGCCCAAGUCUAACAAACUCCAAUCUCUAUCUAUAAGAAGAAGCCAAAAGAAGGACCUCAAGGUACGCGAUCUCCUCUCUUCCAAAAUACUCGUUCCUCCCUCUGUUGAGCAAAAAACCAACUUGAGCAUCAGAAGGUCCCACUGGAGCCACCUCCGAUUGAAAAUUUUUCUUGCAGGUCCUGCCGCCGCCAUCAUGCCGCUGUCGAUCUGCCGUCGCCGUUCGACUCUAGGCAUCCCGAUCUCAAGAUGAAUUUCUGCAUCAAUAGAAUGAUCCCAGAGAAAAAAUUCAAAUCCGUUUGUAGGAAGAAGUAAGCAUCCAAUGAGAGGAGCUUCAUCGUGCUGCUCCAACAUCGGGAUUAUCCUCAUCGGCCGUCUAUCUCCAAAUUAGUCAGAUGAUCCAACUAUCCAUGAACCGGCCGACAUCGACCAAAGUUCUUCGGGAUCAUCCUCGUCGGUCUCAAAACUGAAAGGAAGCUCCAAGCAAGGGAAGAGACUACAACUUUUAGAGAAUUUUUUUUUUUAAAUUUUCGAAUCACUUUUGUUUCUACGUCUGUAUUCAAAUUUUAAAUUUAAAUUUUGAACAGAAUUCGUAUGAGAAAAGAGAUCACAGUGGAUCAACAUUCAGAUAAGAAAAAAUAAAGAGAGAGAGAGAGAGAGA